CUGAAUCAAAAAUAAUAUUUGGUUUGCUAAAUAAUGACUAAAGGGCGUUUACUGUACAUUCAGUUAAUCAUUAAGUUAAUUACUAGCUUAUUUUUGUUUGUUUUUGCACGAAUGUGGAUCCUUUAAAUGUUUAAUAAAUCUUAAAUAAUGGCUAAUAUGCCCUUACUAGCCUGUAUGUUAAGUUGAUCAUUAAUUACUAGUGUGUAUGUGCAUAACAAAUGCAUAAUUGUAUUAACAUAUCUCCUUUGAGAUCUGCCUCCCUCCCCUUCAGGUACAGUCAUUUUAUAUUCAUCUGUUUACAUUUAUUGAGGUAAGAAGACAAAUAUCUAAGAAAAUGAAUGCGUAUUAUUUCCAUCUCUUGUUUCUUGUUCCUUGACAGACCCAAAGGCAAAGGACAGUGAUUCCCAAACCACAGAGAAAUGAAUGGCUGUUGAUGAGUAUCAAGCACAACCUCGACAGAGACUCAGAAGAGGCUGAAAUAAUGGAGGAAAACGGAAAAAUUGAGAAAUGACAACAAAAAAAGCUACCAAAUCUGAUAAAUGAAGUGAAGAUGACCCUGAAGUCUCAGUGUUCGUCAGCAUCAGUCAGCUCUGACUUGGAUGAUGGGACAGGAUUUGCCACAGAGUAAUUACAGAGCCCUUCCAACAGAACAGGAGCAACGUUGCAGAAAGUGUCCUCAUGUGGUGCCCACCAGCAUUGGUACAGCAAUUAAUGCCAAACUUACUGAAAUUAGCGGGAAAAUACAAAAACAUCUGAAAACCUUAAUGGUGUUUGAUGAUUGAUAGCCGUGACAGUGUGUUCAAGGUAUUUUGUUGUUAUUGUUGUUGGGGUGUGUGUGUGUUGUCUUCAAAAAGUUCAGUUUGAUAUCAAGUUGUAAUUUUAAAUUACUCUUGUGGAGUAUAAUUUGAUUGUCUCUUUGAUUGUGUUGAAAUAAAAGUAUUUCUAAUGUAAA